rnacentral:misc_RNA from 1 species
AGUAAAAGUCGUAACAAGGUUUCCGUAGGUGRACCUGCGGAAGGAUCAUUAUCGAGGGGGCUUGCCCCCGUCAAGAUACCACCCUUUGCCUUUGAGUACCUUCUGUUUCCUCGGCAGGCUCGCCUGCCAAUGGGGACCACAACCAAACCUUUUUGUAUCUGUAGUAAACGUUUUACAAAAUAAAAAAUCAAAACUUUCAACAACGGAUCUCUUGGUUCUGGCAUCGAUGAAGAACGCAGCGAAAUGCGAUAAGUAGUGUGAAUUGCAGAAUUCAGUGAAUCAUCGAAUCUUUGAACGCACAUUGCGCCCUUUGGUAUUCCUUAGGGCAUGCCUGUUCGAGCGUCAUCUAACCCUUCAAGCACUGCUUGGUGUUGGGCGUUUGUCCCGCCUUGGGCGCGGACUCGCCUCAAAGACAUUGGCGGCCUGUGUAUUGGCUUCGAGCGCAGCAGACUCGCGCGUCGACUCCUCUAGCACUAGGCGUCCAGCAAGCCUAUUA